CUUGACUGUAGCCUGGAAUUGGGUUCGGGCUUUUCUUGCGCAGACUAGGUGGGAGGCUAUGAAGAUUUCCUUCCGGGGAAGUUGGAGCCAACAGUGAGAGACCACUCUGGAAAGGCUAGAAUCCUCAUGGUGAUCCUUGAAUCAGGACACUUGACAGUUUCAGGCGGGCAGUUUUUCUGGGGCGGAAACCUCAUAAAAGGUAACUGAGGCGCGCAAAGGUCCCCUCAGUCUGGACGGAAAUCAGACAUUGAGUGUAAAGGCAAAAGGGGGCUUGACUGCAAGACCUACAAGUCGAGCAGGAGCGAAAGCUGGCCUUAGUGAUCCGACGGUGCCGUGUGGAAGGGCCGUCGCUCAACGAAUAAAAGUUA
rnacentral:rRNA from 1 species